rnacentral:rRNA from 1 species
GAAAUGCGAUACGUAGUGUGAAUUGCAGAAUUCCGUGAACCAUCGAAUUUUUGAACGCAUAUUGCGGUCAAGGCCUCGGCUAAGACCAUGUCUGCCUCAGCGUCGGGUUAAUCGUCCCAUCCUCAAUCAUUGAUCAAUUAAUUGAUUAAUGUGCGAGAUAAUAUGAUGGGGAUCAAUCGCAGUCCGGGUGUUUUAACCGACACCCAGUCUGCCCAAGUAUUUAUUAGGUGCUUCCUUGCAUGGGUGCAAUUCUUUACCGACUUGCAUUCAACACAAGCCGCACUCGAGUAUUCAUCUCGUAUGUUUGUCUCGUACUGCUGGUUUGGGCAAAGAAGUCUUGACGUGGUUCGCCACGUCAGGACCCCCCCCACUUAUUCAAUCCUUGGACCACCAACACUUCUCGACCUGAGCUCAGGCA